rnacentral:rRNA from 1 species
UACGUAGGGGGCAAGCGUUGUCCGGAUUUAUUGGGCGUAAAGAGCGUGUAGGCGGCCAUGUAGGUCCGUUGUGAAAACUCGAGGCUCAACCUCGAGACGCCGAUGGAAACCAUGUGGCUAGAGUCCGGAAGAGGAGAGUGGAAUUCCGUGGAUGUAGCGGUGAAAUGACGCAGAUAUCAGGAAGAACACCCGUGGCUAAGGCGGCUCUCUAGUACGGUACUGACGCUGAGACGCGAAAGCGUGGGGAGCGAACAGG